rnacentral:rRNA from 1 species
AUACGGAGGGUGCAAGCGUUAUUCGGAAUCACUGGGCGUAAAGGACGCGUAGGCGGGUUGGCAAGUCAGAUGUGAAAUCCUACAGCUUAACUGUAGAACUGCAUUUGAAACUGCUAACCUAGAGUAUGGGAGGGGGAGAUGGAAUUGGUGGUGUAGGGGUAAAAUCCGUAGAUAUCACUAGGAAUACCGAAAGCGAAGGUGAUCUCCUGGAACAUAACUGACGCUAAGGCGUGAAAGCGUGGGGAGCAAACAGGAUUAGAUACCCUAGUAGUCC